GCCCCACAUUUUCACAAUCCCUAUAAUCUACAUAUUAUAAAAACAAUAAACAAAACAAACUAAAUAGUACAGAAAUGGAAAUCCUAAUAAAUAUAAGUAAGUAUUAACAACUGUACCUUGUGCAUUAUGGUUUUACAAGAAAAUCUUUAACUAAAUAAAUCCCGAAUUCUUCAUGAGAUGUUAAUAUACCGUUAAGAACCUAUCAGUAACUGUGGAAAAAGUUUUGAAAGAUAUGUUAACAGAGGCUACAUACCAACCGCAUAAGAAAAUAGCUGGUUCUCAACCAACAUUAUAAAUUAAAGCAUGUAGAAAUUUUACAGUGUUAAAUUAUCGAGGACAAGCCCGAUAAUCAAAGCCAUACAAAUAAAUCUCAAAAUAAUAACAUAGGCUUAGAAUCAGCCAUUAAUAGUGCCUCACCGCAACAAAAAUAGAAAAAAAUAAAUCAAAUAACAUGCUACACAUAAUUGAGAUACGGGCACAACUCUCCUAGGCCCGCUUUAAUAUGUAAAAAUAAGUAUUUAUAAAUAAAAAACAAAAAUCAAGCUAAACCAAAAAAAAUAUAUAACCAAUCACUAACUAAGGAACUCGGCAAACACUUAUUUCGACUGUUUAACAAAAACAUUGCCAUAUGAAUAAAUAUAUAAGGUAAUUUCCUGCCCAGUGACAAAAGUUCAACGGCCGCGGUAUCCUAACCGUGCAAAGGUAGCAUAAUCACUUGCCUAUUAAUUGUAGGCUAGAAUGAACGGAUCAACGAAAUAAAACCUGUCUCAGUUAGCAAACUAAAAAUUAUUCUCCAUACGAAGAAAUAUGGAUAAAAUCGAAGGACAAGAAGACCCUAUAGAGCUUAUUUAAAUCACAGACCCUAUCUAGUGUAAUAAUUCGGUUGGGGCGACCAAGGGAAUAAAUAUCACCCUAAAACACAAAGAUUAAUAAAUCAUAAAAUUGACCCUUAUAAGAUCACAAGAUCAAGCUACCUUAGGGAUAACAGGCUAAUCCCAUUCAAGAGUCCAUAUCAACAAUGGGGUUUGGCACCUCGAUGUUGGCUUAGGUAACUAUGUAGCGCAAAAGCUAUAUUAUGUUGGUUUGUUCAACCAAUAAUUUCCUACAUGAGCUGAGUUCAGACCGGCGUAAGCCAGGUUAGCUUCUAUCCACGAUAUCUACAUCUCCUCCUAGUACGAAAGGACCUGAGUGAGAGUAAUAAUUUACAAAAAUAAAAUUAAUUUACCAUUAAAUCAGUAAUAAAUAAUAUACACUAUA
rnacentral:rRNA from 1 species